CCCCUCUCAGGAUCAUACCUGGAGAGUUUCUAGUACUCUAUCAGUCUUGGCUAUGGGAGGGAGAGUUAAGCAGAGGCCUUCCUGUUCCAUUCCUAGCUUGGGCUCUGGCUAGCGAGUGGAAAGCAAUCUAUUACAAGU